AGCUUUGCGCAGUGGCACAAUCGUAGCCAAUGAGGUUUAUUCGAGGCGCGAUUAUUGCUAAUUGAAAAAUAGAAGAGCUCAAAAAAAGGAAGAAAUUUAAAUCACCUGUAAUUCUAUUACCUGGAAAUCAUUGUUUAGG